GGCUCAGGAUGAACGCUGGCGGCGUGCCUAACACAUGCAAGUCGAACGGAAUUUACAUGAAGCCUAGCGAUUGUAAAUUUAGUGGCGAACGGGUGAGUAACGCGUAGGCAACCUGCCCUUUAGUUGGGGACAACAUCCCGAAAGGGGUGCUAAUACCGAAUGUGACAGUUUUUCCGCAUGGGAUUACUGUGAAAGAUGGCCUCUAUUUAUAAGCUAUCGCUAAAGGAUGGGCCUGCGUCUGAUUAGCUAGUUGGUGGGGUAACGGCCUACCAAGGCGACGAUCAGUAGCCGGUCUGAGAGGAUGAACGGCCACAUUGGGACUGAGACACGGCCCAGACUCCUACGGGAGGCAGCAGUGGGGAAUCUUCCGCAAUGGACGAAAGUCUGACGGAGCAACGCCGCGUGAACGAUGACGGCCUUCGGGUUGUAAAGUUCUGUUAUACGGGACGAAUGGUACGACGGUCAAUACCCGUCGUAAGUGACGGUACCGUAAGAGAAAGCCACGGCUAACUACGUG
rnacentral:rRNA from 1 species